rnacentral:rRNA from 1 species
GAUGAACGCUGGCGGCGUGCCUAAUACAUGCAAGUCGAGCGAACGGACGAGAAGCUUGCUUUUCUGAUGUUAGCGGCGGACGGGUGAGUAACACGUGGAUAACCUACCUAUAAGACUGGGAUAACUUCGGGAAACCGGAGCUAAUACCGGAUAAUAUUUUGAACCGCAUGGUUCAAAAGUGAAAGACGGUCUUGCUGUCACUUAUAGAUGGAUCCGCGCUGCAUUAGCUAGUUGGUAAGGUAACGGCUUACCAAGGCAACGAUGCAUAGCCGACCUGAGAGGGUGAUCGGCCACACUGGAACUGAGACACGGUCCAGACUCCUACGGGAGGCAGCAGUAGGGAAUCUUCCGCAAAGGGCGAAAGCCUGACGGAGCAACGCCGCGUGAGUGAUGAAGGUCUUCGGAUCGUAAAACUCUGUUAUUAGGGAAGAACAUAUGUGUAAGUAACUGUGCACAUCUUGACGGUACAUAAUCAGAAAGCCACGGCUAACUACGUG